UGCAUAUGAAUUGAUGGAAAAAGUAAAAUCUAUCCACCUAAAGUGCUAUUUUGACCUCUCUUAUGUGUUUUUCUUAUUUUUUUUUUUAAUGCGCGAGAAAGGCACCACCAACGCUAGGUGGAUUGAUCUGGGUUUUUAUUUAUAUCUUGUCUUUUGUAGUGCACGUUAGAGGAGCUUUACGGAUUUAUGCAAAGCUACAUCGAAAAGGUGUGAAACAUUCGGAGUCAGAAAUAAAUAAUCCUAUGAGCGCUGAAGUUAUAUUCGCUGCGCCACUGGUGAAAUGGACACAGGAUAUCAACGAGCACAUCAAAGAAGCUUAUGACGAUCCGCAUAUCGCCUGUGUGGCGGACACGUUCAAAACAGGCUUGUACCAUAUUGUAUUUCAGGACGUUAUUCUUUGGACGAACGAUUCAUUUGUCAAUUCGCUUGAUGUAUUUUGGAAAUGUUUUCAUGUAUUCGGACGAAAAGUGCCCAACAUUCUGCAAAAGUAUCAAGAAAAUCCUGGAAAAAUCUGGGAGUUUUAAUUUUGAAGAUCAAUCGCCCCCUGCCAAAGGAAUCAUCGAAGGAUUUUUUGCAGAAUUCUCGGAGGAAUCAUCGCAGGGUUUAGAAAGAGGUCCCGCAGAAUCCCCGAAGGUUGCAGCGCAAGAUGUCCGCAGUUAUCCCCAGAGGAUUCCCGCAGGAUUUCCGAAGGAACUCCCUUCAGAAAUAUUUUUUUGAAGAAUUCUCGAAGUAAUCCCCACAGGAUAUCCAAAGAAAUCUUCGUAGGAUUCCCGAAGCAUUCAACACAGGAUUUCAGAAGGAAUUCCCAAAUAAAUCCCUAUAGGAUAUCCGAAGGAAUCCCCGAAAUAUUCCCGAUAGAAUACCUGCAAAAUUUCCGCAGGAUUCCACAAAAGAUUCAAAAUGGAAUCCCUGCUAAAUUCCCGGAGAAAUCAUCGCAAGGUUCCCGAAUAAGUCCCCAUAAGAUUUCCGAAGGAUUCAGCACAGGACUCCCGCAGGAAUUCUCACAGGAUUCCCGCAGGAAUUAUUGCAGGAUUCCCAAAGAAAUUCCCGCAUGAUUUCUAAAGGAAUCCUCUCAGGACUCAGAAGCGAGUCCCCGCAGAAUUCUCGUAGAAAUCUUUCUAGGAUUUCCGAAGAAAUCUUCCAAGUACAUUCUCUUGAAACGCUCUUAAAGGUUUCCAAAGGAUUGUUCGUAAUAUUCUUGAAAGCCUCUUUCCAGGACGCUCUAAAGAAAUCGUCCUUAAUUGUUGUAACCUUUGUACAUUGAUUUUUGAAAGAAACCCUCCAUAAUUUUCGAAAAAUUUCGACUAGAUUUUACAAGGCAUCACAAUUGUAUUCCAACAGGAAUUGCAGCUGAAUUACAAGAGAAAUACCACCCUGAAAUCCUUCUGGAAUCCAGAAUUUCUUCUAAAAAUCCAGUAAGGAUUUUAACUGCAGAGGUGAGAGAAUUGCAUUAUCCUCGCCUACAUCGCAAAACCGUAAGGAUAGUUCGAGAAAUCGCCAGCUAAAAUUAGUACCUAUUAUUGAACACCCAUAAAAAUGCACGUAGGUUCAACAGGCAAAAAACCUUUACUCAGACACAGAUUAACGCAUUAACUAGAACCCGAGCAUUUCUCGUAAUAUAGAUUCAGUCGUAAUUUCCAUAAAUUCAAUAAUAAAUUCAAAAUAGUUAUUCAUUGAAUAUAAUACCUAUUUGCAUUGCAGAUUUGUAGCUGUAGAGCAUUACGCCGGAUAAAAUAAUCAACUAAUUAGCACCGUUGCGAACCAUUCGUAGGAGCCACUGCAAUUGGCAGUCAUUUCCGAUCAUUGCUUUCUGGUGAUGUUACGAUGAUGCCGUUAUAUCCAAUUUCGUCUUUUCUGGUGCCUGGUGACUCCCCCGCGUGCAUCUCACUAAUCGACAGCCCUAAACCGACAGUUUUCCGGAAUGAAAUCAAACUGUUCUGGAAGAAAUCACUUAAAACUCCAAGCGUUCCCGUUGGAGUCUCUGCUGAACCUUGACAUUCACACUCUAGACUCGCUUGAUUCAUGUCUGGCAUGGUUUUUGCUUCAACAAUACCGCUCGGCAAUCGAUACUUCUCGGAACAAACCCAAAGCCAACUGCACGUGUCAUUCGCCAUUCAGCUAAAAUACCAUUUCCGAAGAACUAGGCAUUCCGAAGCCAACAUACGGGCUGAAUAGUGGUUCGGCUGUAAUCAACAGGCAUGCUUUCUGCUGAAGGUCAAAAACGGUCUCAACCACACGAGAUCAUCAUGGAGCAUAUCGAGGCAGAUGGCGUGAUCAAUGACAUGCCCAAUCCGAAGUUUUUAGCAGUAACUCGAGGAACAAAUUUCCAGCUAGUCUAUCAAGGGUUGAAUGCUGAAAGUGGUGUUUAGAGCUAAACGAGAAAUUUGACCUUAUCAAGGUCACAAGCGACGACGAGGUGUUCAAAAUGUGUCUAGAGGUGCUGAAAUCACAACCAACAUUUGCUCGGUGAUAAAAAUGAUCUCCUAUUCGGAACGUACUUGUUAAGGUCGUUUUCCACGUAGGGUCCACGCAUCAACAGCAGUAAGAGAACUGAGGAAGUUUUUUUUUCAGAAUAUAUCAUAUUCCCGGAUGCAGAUGUUUGAUAUUUUUCUACUAGGGAUUGACGAACAACUCGAUAUACGAUUUAAAAAUGUCUGG